UACGUAGGGUGCAAGCGUUGUCCGGAAUUAUUGGGCGUAAAGAGCUCGUAGGCGGUUUGUCGCGUCUGCUGUGAAAACCCGAGGCUCAACCUCGGGCCUGCAGUGGGUACGGGCAGACUAGAGUGCGGGUAGGGGAGAAUGGAAUUCCUGGUGGUAAGCGGUGGAAUGCGCAGAUAUCAGGAGGAACACCGAUGGCGAAGGCAGUUCGUCUGGGCCGUUACUGACGCUGAGGAGACGAAAGCGUGGGGAGCGAACAGG
rnacentral:rRNA from 1 species